rnacentral:rRNA from 1 species
UUCUGCCACCGAAUACAUUAGCAUGGGAUAAUGGAAUAGGACCCUGUCCUCCUAUUUUCAGUUGGUUUUGGCAGCGCGAGGACUAGGGUAAUGAUUAAUAGGGAUAGUUGGGGGCAUUAAUAUUUAAUUGUCAGAGGUGAAAUUCUUGGAUUUAUGAAAGAUUAACUUCUGCGAAAGCAUCUGCCAAGGAUGUUUUCAUUAAUCAAGAACGAAAGUUAGGGGAUCGAAGACGAUCAGAUACCGUCGUAGUCUUAACCAUAAACGAUGCCGACCAGCGAUUAGGAGACGUUGAAUACAAAACACCACCAUCGGCGCGGUCGUCCUUGGCGUCUCGGUCCUUCACGGGGCCGGGGCGCGGGGGCGGCUUAGCCCGGUGGCACCGGWGAAUGACUCCCCUAGSAGCUWGUGAGA